rnacentral:rRNA from 1 species
UUGAACGCUGGCGGCAUGCCUUACACCUGCAAGUCGAACGGUAACGGGCCUUCGGGUGCCAACGAGUGGCGAACGGGUGAGUAAUACAUCGGAACGUGCCCGAUCGUGGGGGAUAACGAGGCGAAAGCUUUGCUAAUACCGCAUACGAUCUACGGAUGAAAGCAGGGGACCGCAAGGCCUUGCGCGGACGGAGCGGCCGAUGGCAGAUUAGGUAGUUGGUGGGAUAAAAGCUUACCAAGCCGACGAUCUGUAGCUGGUCUGAGAGGAUGAUCAGCCACACUGGGACUGAGACACGGCCCAGACUCCUACGGGAGGCAGCAGUGGGGAAUUUUGGACAAUGGGCGCAAGCCUGAUCCAGCCAUGCCGCGUGCAGGAUGAAGGCCUUCGGGUUGUAAACUGCUUUUGUACGGAACGAAAAGCCUUCUUUUAAUACAGGAGGGUCAUGACGGUACCGUAAGAAUAAGCACCGGCUAACUACGUG